AAGUCGUAACAAGGUUUUGCUAAGCAGCAGUCUUUCUGUAGCAGAGCUUAACGGAGACCUUGCACCCGAGAGGGGGGAGGCGACUAUAAACAAGUCCCAGCGCAAGUCAGCACUAGCUGGCAACACAAUCGAACUGCGGGGACGCUUUAAAGCCCAGUGGUACCAACCCCCCGGUGACCGGAGGGGGCGGGCAUCGCCCGAGGUCAGAACCCACUGAGAUGUACAAUAAGCAAUCCGCAGCGGUCCGAUCGGACCGUUCACAGACUAAGUGGUUGUGGGGAGCCUGCUCCUUAAGAUAUAGUCGGGCCCGGCGGGCAGUCGCCGGGGGUUUUUGCGUCCGUAGGUGAACCUGCGGAAGGAUCAUUACAAGUGAGGCCGCCGAACACCGGUCAAACGGUGGGGAGGCGGCUAACACCCACCCGUGUCUACAUACUCUUGUUGCUUUGGCGGGCCGUGGCCUCCACUGCGGGCUCUGCUCUGCUCGUGUGUGCCCGCCAGAGGACCAAACUCUGAAUGUUAGUGAUGUCUGAGUACUAUUUAAUAGUUAAA
rnacentral:misc_RNA from 1 species